AACGCUAGCUACAGGCUUAACACAUGCAAGUCGAGGGGAAACGACAUCGAAAGCUUGCUUUUGAUGGGCGUCGACCGGCGCACGGGUGAGUAACGCGUAUCCAACCUGCCCACCACUUGGGGAUAACCUUGCGAAAGUAAGACUAAUACCCAAUGACGUCUCUAGAAGACAUCUGAAAGAGAUUAAAGAUUUAUCGGUGAUGGAUGGGGAUGCGUCUGAUUAGCUUGUUGGCGGGGUAACGGCCCACCAAGGCGACGAUCAGUAGGGGUUCUGAGAGGAAGGUCCCCCACAUUGGAACUGAGACACGGUCCAAACUCCUACGGGAGGCAGCAGUGAGGAAUAUUGGUCAAUGGGCGAGAGCCUGAACCAGCCAAGUAGCGUGCAGGAUGACGGCCCUAUGGGUUGUAAACUGCUUUUAUAAGGGAAUAAAGUGAGUCUCGUGAGACUUUUUGCAUGUACCUUAUGAAUAAGGACCGGCUAAUUCCGUGCCAGCAGCCGCGGUAAUACGGAAGGUCCGGGCGUUAUCCGGAUUUAUUGGGUUUAAAGGGAGCGUAGGCCGGAGAUUAAGCGUGUUGUGAAAUGUAGACGCUCAACGUCUGCACUGCAGCGCGAACUGGUUUCCUUGAGUACGCACAAAGUGGGCGGAAUUCGUGGUGUAGCGGUGAAAUGCCUAGAUAUCACGAAGAACUCCGAUUG
rnacentral:rRNA from 1 species